rnacentral:lncRNA from 1 species
AUGAACUUUGAUGAGUACGUCGACCUUGGCCCUGGUGAUGAUAUACCACACAUGGCAAAGAUUAAAUUGGCUGCCUUUCAGUCGCCCACCUCUGGAUGGCUCGUCAUCAUCGACAUGUGACGUUGAGAAUGCUGAAGAGCAGGGGCCUGAAGAGAGCAGCUCUCUUGAUCUUCAAGAAGCUUCGGGCAUCGAACGUACUGAACCGACUCGUGGAAGAUAGCGCUCGGAAACAAAUUCAAGAAUGCAAGGAGGCAUAUGACAGGAGAUGAGCGCCUAAAGGAGAAUAGACAGAAGUUUGCCACAAAGAAGACAUCCACAA